CAAUCUAUUUGCUUAAGAGAACUGCACUAAGAAAUAUCAGUGUUUUAGUGCUUCAAAAGGAUGCCAAUCUACUAACAAAUACAGGAAAAUCUAGGACCUUUAUUUGGGGAGUGAGACAAGCAAGGUCCCAGCAGCUGAGACCACCAAACCACUGCUGCAUGGAGUGGAAGGCUUCCUCAACUGCUACAUGCUUUAAAGAAGGACAGUAGAAGGAGAAAUAUCCCUCAAAUGAUGGAGAGGAAAUGGGAAGGAAAGAGGUGGCUUCAUAGCUGUUUGUGAAUGAAACAGAAAAGCCACUAUUCUAGAAGACACUUCAGGAGGCUUAAGUAGAAGAAACUGAGAGCAAGGAUGUCUGAGAGACGGAGCCCUAAAACUGACAAACACAACACUUGCUAUCCCAGACUUGCCAGGAGACUUUGGGGACCAAAUCCAUGAUGCAAUGCACGGCGAAUGUUCAGUCAAGUGGAAGAGGUACUCUUGCAUUGUGAGGGUAAAAGGUAGGCCACAGCUGGAAUUUAAUAGGACCUGUUAGUUCCUAGUGGACAGUGAACCUGGAGUGACAGUGAUGGGUGGGUGCCAAGGGAACCAACUGAGCUUCCAUUUCUGAGAGUUUUUCACCAACUUGGCUUGGCGACUGUGAAAGGCCAUUGGAACAGUGAGGGGAAGUAGAGAAAAGGCGAAGACUGGAAGCUUUCCUGAAUCUGUGUGAGUAUUUUUGAGAGCAUCCAGUUUCCCCCCCUUGGUGGACUCGUCCUUCCACAGCUCCUCCAGAAUGAUUUGUUCUUCUGGUUCCAAAGAGGGCUUCCUCUGUGGCAUGGGCCUUUCAGUGCUUGUUUUUGAGCCAGCUAGAUGGGGUGGCACAAGAGCAAUAGAAGACAUUCUUCUUCUGUGAGGGGCUGAGCAUGUUGCCCUCCUUCUACCCAUACUUUGUGAGGGUAGAAGGAGGGAAUCACUACAGUACUGCCACUUCUUGCCAACCCAGGAGCUUGGGCCCAAAAUAAAUUUUAUCACUGAAAUAAGACAGUAUGAAGCUUUAACUUUCUUCACAGUUAGAGAAAUCAUUCCUACAGAAUAUCCGACAUGGGGUUGGAUGACAUAGAUGUCAGUGUUGUGAGCCUACACUGAUCCUGAAAUGCACUAUCUUAGGUCCCAGUCCAGGAGAUCAGUUAAGCACAUACUUAACUUUA